UACUAGAGUAGCACUCGCAUAUCAAUAAGCGGAGGAAAAGAAACUAACAAGGAUUCCCCUAGUAACGGCGAGUGAAGCGGGAAGAGCUCAAAUUUGAAAUCUUAAAGGGUUUCCCUUUACGAAUUGUAGUUUAAAGAAGUGUUUUCUGUUGAGGUUUUGGUAAAAGUUCUUUGGAAUAGGACAUCAUAGAGGGUGAGAAUCCCGUAUUUGACCUUUACUUUCAACUUUGUGAUACACUUACAAAGAGUCGGAUUGUUUGGGAAUGCAGUCCAAAAUGGGUGGUAAAUUUCAUCUAAAGCUAAAUAUUGGCGAGAGACCGAUAGCGAACAAGUACCGUGAGGGAAAGAUGAAAAGAACUUUGAAAAGAGAGUUAAACAGUACGUGAAAUUGUCAAAAGGGAAGCGUUUGACACCAGUGUUGUUUUUCUGAAAAUCAAUAAAGAACUGUUUAUGCUAAGUUGUUUAGACUUUAUCAGCUAUCUGCUUAGUUUUGAGCUUUUCUUUAAUGCACUUUUCAGUUAACAAGUCAACAUCAAUUUCUUUUGCUGUAAAAAAGCUUGAGGAAGGUGGCUUGAGAUUCGUCUUAAGUGUUUAUAGCCUCUUGCCUAUGCAGUCGGAGAGAUUGAGGUCUGCAGCGUAGAUCCUUCGGGGCUAAAUGCAUUUGUGCUAAGUUAUAGCAUUUUAUAGACAACUUGUUGACUAUGAUUUGUCUUGUAGCUUACUCGCUUAUGUUAUUUUACCUACGCUUAGGAUGUUGAACUACUGAGACAUAGA
rnacentral:rRNA from 1 species